GACGACGCUGGCGGCGUGGAUUAGGCAUGCAAGUCGAACGGUAUCAUCCUUUCGGGGGUGAGAGAGUGGCGAACUGGUGAGUAACACGUAGGUUAUCUACCCUCAAGACGGGACAACCCAGGGAAACUUGGGCUAAUACCGGAUGUGAGCAACUUUUAGUUGUUUGAAGGGUGGCGUAAGCUGUCGCUUGGGGAUGAGCCUGCGUCCUAUUAGUUAGUUGGUGAGGUAACGGCUCACCUAGGCAAUGAUAGGUAGGCGGCCUUAACGGGUGGUCGCCCACACUGGGAUUGAGAUACGGCCCAGACUCCUACGGGAGGCAGCAGUCGAGAAUAGUCUACAAUGGUCGGAAGACUGAUAGUGCGACGCCGCGUGAACGAUGAAUCCCUUCGGGGUGUAAAGUUCUUUUAUAUGUGAGCAGUGCUUCUUAUAUUAACAGUAUGGGGAGAGAGAUAUUAGCAUAUGAAUAAGCAACGGCUAACUCCGUG
rnacentral:rRNA from 1 species